rnacentral:rRNA from 1 species
AACGUAGGGGGCGAGCGUUAUCCGGAAUCACUGGGCGUAAAGGGCGUCUAGGCGGCCAUUUAGGUCCCGUGUGAAAUCUCCCGGCUCAACUGGGAGGGUGCACGGGAAACCGGAAGGCUAGAGACUCGGAGGGGGGUGCGGAAUUCCCGGUGGAGCGGUGAAAUGCGUAGAUAUCUGGAGGAACACCGGUGGCGAAGGCGGCAUCCUGGACCGGCAGUUGACGCUGAGGCGCGAAAGCCAGGGGAGCAAAGCGGG